AUUUGUCACAACAGACCUGCGCUAAUGGAAAACUGAAGACUGUUCUUGAAGUAAAAUAAAAUUAUCCCAGAUGGGAAACUAGAGAUGUAAGGCGAAGUGAAAGAGCGAAAGUGUGAUGAAUAUCGUGGCUAAGUCAAAAUGAGCAGCGACUGUACGAAAAAGAACGAAGCCUACGGAAUUCAAACACACGGUAACAGACGGCAUGGGAGUCAAAGGCGGGGCGGGGGGGGGGAACGAGCUCCUAAGAGAAAAGAACUUCAAGCUGUGUGACAAAGUUCUAGAAGCCUGGAGUGAGUACGGGCACAGCAGCCACUUCUGAGAGCAUCAGGAAGCCUCAUGAAGGGCAUCUCUCCAGAAGAUUAGAGCAAUUAGUUCUUGCGGCAUUCAGGGACAUGUGAGUUGAGUUUUACCAACCAAAGUCAGUUCAGAGGCUUGUUAAUAUUCCUAACGGAGGAAUACACUGAAAAGCAAUGAGAAGACAGCAGCAUUCCUGAACAAGAACCUCAGCCCUGAAAAGAAAAGCAAGGAUAGAAUGCUUUUCUGCAAGAAUAUCAUUAAAGGAUCCUGUUUGUUAUGGACCUUCCAGAUUGCAUGGAAGAAGGGGGUGUGAGAAGAAGAAAACGGAGAGACACUUCAAGGUUGCUGCACAUCACAACAUAACUACUCAGACCAACGCCACAACAUCUUGGAGGUUCGCAGGUCGAUUCACCCGGUCGGCAAAAUAAAAGCGGAGUGAGAGUAGCAGGAAAAACGGAGUCGAGCUAGCUUGAAGUAUUAGACGCUGUCAGCACUGGUCAAAAAUAAACUUUCAUCCUGGUAAGUGUA